GCAGAAGAGUAAAUGAUCAGAGUGGUAACAUUUUUAACCUUAUCUAUCAUACUGAAACAUUUUUUCUGCCUCCAAUAAAACAUGUCAGAGUCGAUUAAGGACAUUUUUCAAUGAGGUAUAAUUCACAGAUUUUAGUAGCGAAUCCAAGAGCAGUGAAGUAUUAAAGAGGCUGUGAAUACUUAAUUACGGAUAUGUUACCGUUCUACCUUUGCUUGAAUUCCCUUAACGCUCAGGAGCUCGCCUCUGAAAAUGCGCGUUUUGUCUGAUGGCGGAGUCGGAGGAGUAGCAGGUAGGAUGGCUGGGGAUGUGUCACAUUGUAUCGGGUGACAGGGCCGUGAAAGAUACAGCAGCUCAGUACGUUUGGCGGUGCUUAUCUGGUACAUGAGAGCACAUUACUUCCCAAAGCCCGGGAUCGCUUUGGACAGUAUCAUUAAAUGCCACGUCAUUACCUGUUAUAGAGCAGUGCUUCAGCUUCAAGGGCCUCUUGGGAUACGCUCAAGAGUCGGAAGAAUGAUGGGCAAAGAUGGAGCCGGCAUUAAAUUUUCAAUGGAAGCAGUAUUGGCUUUGACUUUUCAGAAGCCUGAUCUGUUAGAUGGUGUUUGUCACUGGGCUGCAGAGCUGUGGAUGUUCGUCAGUUGGAAGUUGCAGGCAGUUGAACGAUAUGGACAGGUGAAGUCUCCGUGGGGACCGGGCUGGCUCGCGGAGAGCUGGAGGGGAAUCAAGAAAGCUGCCCGUAUUGUCACGCCUCACUUCAGAGGGAAGAGAGAAGACGAAUCCCAUGGAAUAGCCAAUCUCAAUGGAAGGCAAAGAAAGCCACGGCAACAUUUUCUUGGGCCUGUUCGGAUGCUGCAAUGUUUCCUUCUCUCCUCUGUCUCAGAACUUGGUAUUUCAGGUAAUAGGUCCCAGCAGAUUUUCAGCCUUGGAAAGGCAAGAGGGUAAAUGAGGAGCAAGGAGGUGAGGGGACAGUGGGAACUUUCGUCUGGCCCAAAUCUAUCUCCUCACCCAGUAGUUACUUUAUGGACAGCCCUAGAAAGAGCCCAC
rnacentral:lncRNA from 1 species